AUACGGGGGGUGCAAGCGUUAUUCGGAAUCAUUGGGCGUAAAGGGCACGCAGGCGGCCUGGUAAGUCAGAUGUGAAAGCCCGGGGCUCAACCCCGGAAGUGCAUUUGAAACUAUCAGGCUUGAGUAUGGGAGAGGGAAGUGGAAUUCCUGGUGUAGAGGUGAAAUUCGUAGAUAUCAGGAGGAACACCGGUGGCGAAGGCGACUUCCUGGACCAAUACUGACGCUGAGGCGCGAAGGCGUGGGGAGCAAACAGGAUUAGAAACCCCAGUAGUCC
rnacentral:rRNA from 1 species